CCCCUUCGGGGGACAGAGUGACAGGUGGUGCAUGGUUGUCGUCAGCUCGUGUCGUGAGAUGUUGGGUUAAGUCCCGCAACGAGCGCAACCCUUAUUCUUAGUUGCCAGCAUUAAGUUGGGCACUCUAAGGAGACUGCCGGUGACAAACCGGAGGAAGGUGGGGAUGACGUCAAAUCAUCAUGCCCCUUAUGACCUGGGCUACACACGUGCUACAAUGGAUGGUACAAAGGGCUGCAAAACCGUGAGGUCAAGCCAAUCCCAUAAAACCAUUCUCAGUUCGGAUUGUAGGCUGCAACUCGCCUACAUGAAGCCGGAAUCGCUAGUAAUCGUGGAUCAGCAUGCCACGGUGAAUACGUUCCCGGGUCUUGUACACACCGCCCGUCACACCACGAGAGUUUGUAACACCCGAAGCCGGUGGGGUAACCUUUUGGAGCCAGCCGUCUAAGGUGGGACAGAUGAUUGGGGUGAA
rnacentral:rRNA from 1 species